rnacentral:rRNA from 1 species
ACCACAAGAGCGUGGAGUAUGUGGCUUAAUUUGACUCAACGCGGAAAAGCUUAUCUGGUCCGGACACAGUGAGGAUUGACAGACAGUUAGACAGAAGUGAGGUUUUGGUAACAAUUGAGAGAGUUGAAGUUCUUUCAUGAUCUUGUGAGAGGUGGUGCAUGGCCGUUCUUAGUUCGUGUAGUGAUAUGUCUGCCUAAUCGCGUCACGAUAACCUAUUGGUCGACAACCCAAUUAUCACAACUGCAGCAUAACUCCCCUUGGGUGGGCGAGGCUCUGUGUAGGAUAGACCUCUGAACAGUACGCAACGAACGCGAUCGUAAUCCCUUGUUGAGUGGCCAUCCUGUAAGCUGCUGGAUUAGGAACCCAGUGGUAUUAUCUCAGCCACAGAUUUUCUGGUUGUAGUGGGCCAGUUUUGAAACUCGGGGAACAUCUGUGACUUUCUUUCUUAACGCAGAGGAAGGUUAU